rnacentral:lncRNA from 1 species
GAUUAAGACUUAAUAUUAAUUGAUGCAGUCUCCUUCUGUUGCGCUCCUCCAGCUAAGAACACCUCAGAAAACCAUGUACUUACAGACAAAAUCUCAUGACAAUUAAGAUUAAAUAAGUGGAAAUUAACUACUAGAGCCCUUGUAUGCCAAAUAUGUAGCAUCUUACCAAAUUCCAAGAAAAUUCUCACGUUACUAUCAUAUGUUUAUA